UCGCCUGUUUAUCAAAAACAUAGUUUAGUGAUUAAUCCAUUUAUACUAGAUACCCUCUGCCCAAUGCAAAUAAGUAAAAGGCCGCGGUAAUUUAACCGUGCUAAGGUAGCAUAAUAGUUUGUCUUUUAAUUAAAGUCUGGAAUGAAUGAGUUUUCAGAAAAAAUCUGUUUCUAUUUUAUUAAAAUGAAUUUACUUUUUUCGUGAAAAAGCCAAAAUUCUCUAAAAAGACGAGAAGACCCUGAAAAUUUUAAAAAAUUAGUUAAUAACUAAAAAUUUUUUGUUGGGGCGACAAUAAAGCAUAAUAACCUUUAUUUUAAAAAAUGGAAAAUUUUAUAAGUUUAAAUUACUUUAGGGAUAACAGCAUAAUUCUUUUAAGAGUUUAUGACCUCGAUGUUGGACUAGGAAAACUAUAAAUCAGCCAUUUAUUUUUUAAGUUUUGUUCAAACUUUUCCUCCUACGUGAUCUGAGUUCAGACCGGA
rnacentral:rRNA from 1 species